rfam:Colletotrichum higginsianum, IMI 349063, WGS project CACQ02000000 data, contig: cont1.2970
GGCCGGUUGGCCCAAUGGCAAGGCGUCUGACUACGAUUAAAUAUGUUAUCAGGAGAUUCUGGGUUCGACCCCCAGGCUGGUCA